rnacentral:tRNA from 3 species
GCGGGUGUAGCUCAGUGGUAGAGCGUCACGUUGCCAACGUGAGGGUCGAGAGUUCAAAUCUCUUCACCCGCUCCA